rnacentral:rRNA from 2 species
AUGGGACUGAGACACGGCCCAGAUUCCUACGGGAGGCAGCAGUAGGGAUUCUUCCACAAUGGACGAAAGUCUGAUGGAGCAACGCCGCCUGAGUGAAGAAGGUUUUCGGAUCGUAAAACUCUGUUGUUGGAGAAGAAUGUAUCUGAUAGUAACUGAUCAGGUAGUGACGGUAUCCAACCAGAAAGCCACGGCUAACUACGUGCCAGCAGCCGCGGUAAUACGUAGGUGGCAAGCGUUGUCCGGAUUUAUUGGGCGUAAAGCGAGCGCAGGCGGUUUCUUAAGUCUGAUGUGAAAGCCUUCGGCUCAACCGAAGAAGUGCAUCGGAAACUGGGAAACUUGAGUGCAGAAGAGGACAGUGGAACUCCAUGUGUAGCGGUGAAAUGCGUAGAUAUAUGGAAGAACACCAGUGGCGAAGGCGGCUGUCUGGUCUGUAACUGACGCUGAGGCUCGAAAGCAUGGGUAGCAAACAGGAUUAGAUACCCUGGUAGUCCAUGCCGUAAACGAUGAGUGCUAGGUGUUGGAGGGUUUCCGCCCUUCAGUGCCGCAGCUAACGCAUUAAGCACUCCGCCUGGGGAGUACGACCGCAAGGUUGAAACUCAAAGGAAUUGACGGGGGCCCGCACAAGCGGUGGAGCAUGUGGUUUAAUUCGAAGCAACGCGAAGAACCUUACCAGGUCUUGACAUCCUUUGACCACUCUAGAGAUAGAGCUUUCCCUUCGGGGACAAAGUGACAGGUGGUGCAUGGUUGUCGUCAGCUCGUGUCGUGAGAUGUUGGGUUAAGUCCCGCAACGAGCGCAACCCUUAUUACUAGUUGCCAGCAUUUAGUUGGGCACUCUAGUGAGACUGCCGGUGACAAACCGGAGGAAGGUGGGGACGACGUCAAAUCAUCAUGCCCCUUAUG